GCCGGGGUUGGAGAGCGGUCAAAUCCGGGGGACUCAAGAUCCUCUCCCCAGCGGUUCGCAGGUUCAAAUCCUGCCCCCGGCA
rnacentral:tRNA from 2 species